AUCCAGCUGAUGAGUCCCGAACAGGACGAAACGCGCGUCCUGGAU
rnacentral:hammerhead_ribozyme from 1 species